rnacentral:tRNA from 1 species
GUUUCGUUAGCUCAGCAGUAGAGCAUUCGGAUAGUCAACCGAACGGCGCGGGUGCAAUUCCCGUACGGAAAU